UACGGAGGGUGCAAGCGUUGCUCGGAAUCAUUGGGCGUAAAGCGCACGUAGGCGGCCGAUUAAGUCGGAUGUGAAAGCCCCGGGCUCAACCCGGGAAGUGCAUACGAAACUGGUCGGCUUGAAUAUGGAAGAGGGUCGCGGAAUUCCCGGUGUAGUGGUGAAAUGCGUAGAGAUCGGGAGGAACACCUGUGGCGAAGGCGGCUCGCUGGGCCGGUCCUGACGCUGAAACGCGAAGGCGUGGGGAGCGAACGGG
rnacentral:rRNA from 1 species